UACGUAGGGUGCAAGCGUUAAUCGGAAUUACUGGGCGUAAAGCGUGCGCAGGCGGUUUUGUAAGUCUGACGUGAAAUCCCCGGGCUCAACCUGGGAAUUGCGAUGGAGACUGCAAGGCUUGAAUCUGGCAGAGGGGGGUAGAAUUCCACGUGUAGCAGUGAAAUGCGUAGAGAUGUGGAGGAAUACCGAUGGCGAAGGCAGCCCCCUGGGUCAAGAUUGACGCUCAAGCACGAAAGCGUGGGGAGCAAACAGG
rnacentral:rRNA from 1 species